rnacentral:rRNA from 1 species
CGGAAGGACACCUUUCGGUAUUUGGGGUCAAUGUUGCAGGAGGAUGGGGGUAUUGAUGAAGAUGUGAACCAUCGAAUCAAAGCCGGAUGGAUGAAGUGGCGCCAAGCUUCUGGCAUUCUCUAUGACAAGAGAAUGCCACAAAAGCUAAAAGGCAAGUUCUACAGGACGGCGGUUCGACCCGCAAUGUUGUAUGGCACGGAGUGUUGGCCAACUAAAAGGCGACAUGUUCAACAGUUAGGUGUGGCGGAGAUGCGUAUGUUGAGAUGGAUGUGUGGCCACACGAGGAAGGACCGAGUCCGGAAUGAUGAUAUACGAGAUAGAGUUGGGGUAGCACCAAUUGAGGAGAAGCUUGUCCAACAUCGUCUGAGAUGGUUUGGG